GUGAGGAAUAUUGGUCAAUGGGCGCAAGCCUGAACCAGCCAUCCCGCGUGAAGGAAGAAGGCGCUAUGCGUUGUAAACUUCUUUUCCGGAGGAAUAAAAUCUUGUACGCGUACAGGACUGAAGGUACUCCGGGAAUAAGCAUCGGCUAACUCCGUGCCAGCAGCCGCGGUAAUACGGAGGAUGCAAGCGUUAUCCGGAUUUAUUGGGUUUAAAGGGUGCGUAGGCGGAUUAAUAAGUCAGCGGUGAAAACCUUCAGCUUAACUGGAGACUUGCCAUUGAUACUGUUAGUCUUGAGUAUGGUUAAGGUAGGCGGAAUGUGUAAUGUAGCGGUGAAAUGCUUAGAUAUUACACAGAACACCAAUUGCGAAGGCAGCUUACUGAGCCAUAACUGACGCUGAUGCACGAAAGCGUGGGGAGCGAACAGGAUUAGAAACCCGAGUAGUCC
rnacentral:rRNA from 1 species